rnacentral:rRNA from 1 species
AGAGUUUGAUCCUGGCUCAGAGUGAACGCUGGCGGCAGGCCUAACACAUGCAAGUCGAACGGCAGCACAGAGGAGCUUGCUCCUUGGGUGGCGAGUGGCGGACGGGUGAGGAAUACGUCGGAAUCUGCCUAUUUGUGGGGGAUAACGUAGGGAAACUUACGCUAAUACCGCAUACGACCUACGGGUGAAAGUGGGGGACCGCAAGGCCUCACGCAGAUAGAUGAGCCGACGUCGGAUUAGCUAGUUGGCGGGGUAAAGGCCCACCAAGGCGACGAUCCGUAGCUGGUCUGAGAGGAUGAUCAGCCACACUGGAACUGAGACACGGUCCAGACUCCUACGGGAGGCAGCAGUGGGGAAUAUUGGACAAUGGGCGCAAGCCUGAUCCAGCCAUGCCGCGUGUGUGAAGAAGGCCUUCGGGUUGUAAAGCACUUUUGUCCGGAAAGAAAAGCUUAGGGUUAAUAACCCUGAGUCAUGACGGUACCGGAAGAAUAAGCACCGGCUAACUUCGUGCCAGCAGCCGCGGUAAUACGAAGGGUGCAAGCGUUACUCGGAAUUACUGGGCGUAAAGCGUGCGUAGGUGGUUUGUUAAGUCUGAUGUGAAA